ACGCGUGGGAAUCUACCCUUUCCUGCGGAAUAGCUCCGGGAAACUGGAAUUAAUACCGCAUACGCCCUCCGGGGGAAAGAUUUAUCGGGGAAGGAUGAGCCCGCGUUGGAUUAGCUAGUUGGUGGGGUAAAGGCCUACCAAGGCGACGAUCCAUAGCUGGUCUAAGAGGAUGAUCAGCCACAUUGGGACUGAGACACGGCCCAAACUCCUACGGGAGGCAGCAGUGGGGAAUAUUGGACAAUGGGCGCAAGCCUGAUCCAGCCAUGCCGCGUGAGUGAUGAAGGCCCUAGGGUUGUAAAGCUCUUUCAGUGGGGACGAUAAUGACGGUACCCACAGAAGAAGCCCCGGCUAACUUCGUGCCAGCAGCCGCGGUAAUACGAAGGGGGCUAGCGUUGUUCGGAAUUACUGGGCGUAAAGCGCACGUAGGCGGACAUUUAAGUCAGGGGUGAAAUCCCGGGGCUCAACCCCGGAACUGCCUCUGAUACUGGAUGUCUCGAGUGUGGUAGAGGUAAGUGGAAUUGCGAGUGUAGAGGUGAAAUUCGUAGAUAUUCGCAGGAACACCAGUGGCGAAGGCGGCUUACUGGACCACAACUGACGCUGAGGUGCGAAAGCGUGGGGAGCAAACA
rnacentral:rRNA from 1 species